UUUAACGACUAACGGGUUAAUAUCUUAAAUAUCUAAGGCUACCCCACCAAAACCACCCCCCAAACCACCCAACACCCCUUUAUCUACCUCACUCACGGCUGAAUUCAGCCAACACACUCCAAUCAUCUUUGCUCUCUCACACACACAACACCCAAAACACCUACUUAUCACGCCAAACACCAUUUUUAGCUUGGACGGAGGUUUCAAGCUCCGAUUUGAGCACCGAGACGAGCACCGAUCAUCUUUUCGAUCACGUAUCUAAGUAGGUCCUUUUGGGAAGUAACGACUUGAGGGAGAGAGUGACGUUACUCAUUGAUACAGAGACACAACGAGGUUGAGCUGAUGUGAUGAUGGUGCUGCAAUGAGCGGAGUCUCCAGGGUUGUUAAUAAAUAGUUAACCUGUCUAGAAUAUGUCUUCAUACAUAUGUCUAGCUACUUUCCGCUGCAAGAUGUUGUUGAUGUUAUAGUAUGUUAUGUCAUACUUUGAGUCUUAAGAGAAUGGUUGCAUAUGAUGUAUAACUUGAUUAAUGAUAUUAAUUAACUUUUAUGCAGUCUUUCAUAGACUGUUUUCAAUUGAGUAUUAAUGAAUAAAAAUGACGAGUUUUAUUAA